UACAGAGGUCCCAAGCGUUGUUCGGAUUCAUUGGGCGUAAAGGGUGCGUAGGUGGCGCCGUAAGUGGGGGUGUGAAAUCUCGGAGCUUAACUCCGAAACUGCAUUCGAUACUGCCGUGCUUGAGGACUGGAGAGGAGACUGGAAUUUACGGUGUAGCGGUGAAAUGCGUAGAUAUCGUAAGGAAGACCAGUGGCGAAGGCGGGUCUCUGGACAGUUCCUGACGCUGAGGCACGAAGGCCAGGGGAGCAAACGGG
rnacentral:rRNA from 1 species